rnacentral:rRNA from 1 species
CCUACGGGAGGCAGCAGUGGGGAAUAUUGCACAAUGGGGGAAACCCUGAUGCAGCGACGCCGCGUGAAGGAAGAAGUAUCUCGGUAUGUAAACUUCUAUCAGCAGGGAAGAUAGUGACGGUACCUGACUAAGAAGCCCCGGCUAACUACGUGCCAGCAGCCGCGGUAAUA